ensembl:lncRNA
GUUCUAAGUCGCUUGUCCUGACUCUGUGACCCCAUGGACUAUAGCCCGCCAGGCUCCACUGUCCAUGGGGUUCUCCAGGCAAGAAUACUAGAGUGGGUUGCUUGCCCUCCUCCAGGGGAUCUCCUUGACCCAGGGAUUGAACCUGGGUUUCCUACGUUGCAGGCAAAUUCUUCACUGCCUGAACCACCAGCGAAGCUGGCACACGGAACUGAAUAUGACCUUCUAAGGUGUCUGAGGAGAGCAUGGCAACCCACUCCACUAUUCUUGCCUGGAGAAUCCCAUGUACAGUCCAUGGGGUUGCAAAGAGUCGGACCUGACAGAAGUGAUGGAGCAUGGACACAUUUAUUGUAUUAAUAUAUUUAAAAUGUCAGUCAGCAUGCCAGAACUACAUUUGUCAGUUGCAACUUUGGCAAAAAUAAAGGCAUGCAUUCUGUGAGAACUGUAUAUAUGGAGUUAACAGUAAAGAG